AAUGGUAAUUAUAGUAAAAGGCCUGAGAGAUGUCCCGCGUCCCAAAUGACUCUCCCACGAACAUGAAGUGCACUAAGCGCCCAUUUGGGUCGCACCCUGAUGUAGUGCACUCGAAUAGGGAGGAAAAGGCUAUUAGGAACACAGCCCGUUACUCGUUAGGGUCACGAGGAAACGUAAAUAAACCUUCAAACGGCGCAUGAACGGGGCUGGUCGCUAAAUACAGGACACCGGAAGUGGAGGGCACGUUUAAAGGGUGUGAAUAGCGCGCUGUGAUUGGUUCAAAUCUGAUCUCGACUGGGUGACGUUUUACUAUAAAGACAUUUUUUGUUGU